rnacentral:rRNA from 1 species
AAUGGGCGAAAGCCUGAUGCAGCGACGCCGCGUGAGUGAAGAAGUAUUUCGGUAUGUAAAGCUCUAUCAGCAGGGAAGAAAAUGACGGUACCUGACUAAGAAGCCCCGGCUAACUACGUGCCAGCAGCCGCGGUAAUACGUAGGGGGCAAGCGUUAUCCGGAUUUACUGGGUGUAAAGGGAGCGUAGACGGCGAAGCAAGUCUGAAGUGAAAACCCAGGGCUCAACCCUGGGACUGCUUUGGAAACUGUUUUGCUAGAGUGUCGGAGAGGUAAGUGGAAUUCCUAGUGUAGCGGUGAAAUGCGUAGAUAUUAGGAGGAACACCAGUGGCGAAGGCGGCUUACUGGACGAUAACUGACGUUGAGGCUCGAAAGCGUGGGGAGCAAA